rnacentral:rRNA from 1 species
AGUGAACGCUGGCGGUAGGCCUAACACAUGCAAGUCGAACGACAAGACAGUAAGAUCGUUCUCUUACGGUUGGCGAGUGGCGGACGGGUGAGGAAUACAUCAGAAUCUACUUUUUCGUGGGUGAUAACGGAGGGACACUUACGCUAAUACCUCAUACGUCCUACGGGUUAAAGCAGUGGUUCUUCGGACCUUGCGUGAUUGAAUGAGCCGAUGUCGGAUUAGCUAGUUGGCUAGGUAAGGGCCCACCAAGGCGACGAUGCGUAGCCGGCCUGAGAGGAUGAUCGGCCACACUGGAACUGAGACACGGUCCAGACUCCUACGGGAGGCAGCAGUAGGGAAUAUUGGGCAAUGGGCGCAAGCCUGAUGCAGCCAUACCGCGUGAGUGAAGAAGGCCUUCGGGUUGUAAAGCCCUUUUGUUAGGGAAGAAAAAAAGCAGGUUUAAACACCGAUGUCCUGACGGUACCCAAACAAUAAGCACCGGCUAACUUCGUG